GCCAACACAGCGUAGAAAUUUUAUUUAUGCCUUUCUUUUGGCUUCAAUGUACUUAUGAUCCCCUAUUUUAACUGUAACAAAAUUUUAGUCCACCCAUUUCUAAAUAUGAGAUUUUUGUCUCCUUGUUUCACAAGUUUCGGGAACUUUUUCCCCGAUCCAGUUUAGCUAAUUUUUUUUAUGAUGUAGCAUAUUCAUUAAUGAUGUGGAAUUAUAUUUUAUGAUGCAACAUUGCUAAUUUAGAUCACUAUUUGUUGUGACUAUGCUAACAGUUAUGGAAGGCCACUCCAAAAU
rnacentral:lncRNA from 1 species